AACAGGAUUAGAUACCCUGGUAGUCCACGCCGUAAACGAUGAGUGCUAGGUGUUGGGGGGCUACGCCCCUCAGUGCCGAAGGUAACCCAUUAAGCACUCCGCCUGGGGAGUACGGCCGCAAGGCUGAAACUCAAAGGAAUUGACGGGGGCCCGCACAAGCGGUGGAGCAUGUGGUUUAAUUCGAAGCAACGCGAAGAACCUUACCAGGGCUUGACAUCCCGCUGACCCCUCCAGAGAUGGAGGUUUCCUUCGGGACAGCGGUGACAGGUGGUGCAUGGUUGUCGUCAGCUCGUGUCGUGAGAUGUUGGGUUCAGUCCCGCAACGAGCGCAACCCUUGUCGUUAGUUGCCAGCAUUUCGGAUGGGCACUCUAACGAGACAGCCGGUGAAAGCCGGAGGAAGGUGGGGAUGACGUCAAAUCAUCAUGCCCCUUAUGUCCUGGGCUACACACGUGCUACAAUGGCUGGUACAAAGGGCAGCGAACCCGCGAGGGGGAGCCAAUCCCAAAAAGCCAGUCUCAGUUCGGAUCGCAGGCUGCAACUCGCCUGCGUGAAGCCGGAAACGCUAGUAAUCGCGGAUCAGCAUGCCGCGGUGAAUAUGUUCCCGGGCCUUGUACACACCGCCCGUCACACCACGAGAGUUUGCAACACCCGAAGUCGGUGAGGCAACCUUUUAGGAGCCAGCCGCCGAAGGUGGGGCAGAUGAUUGGGGUGAAGUCGUAACAAGGUAACC
rnacentral:rRNA from 1 species